CCUACGGGGGGCAGCAGUGAGGAAUAUUGGUCAAUGGGCUUACGCCUGAACCAGCCAAGUCGCGUGAGGGAAGACUGCCCUAUGGGUUGUAAACCUCUUUUGUCAGGGAGCAACGCCGGCUACGUGUAGCCGGACUGAGAGUACCUGAAGAAAAAGCAUCGGCUAACUCCGUGCCAGCAGCCGCGGUAAUACGGAGGAUGCGAGCGUUAUCCGGAUUUAUUGGGUUAAAAGGGUGCGUAGGCGGAAUGCCAAGUCAGCGGGAAAAUCGCGGGGCUCAACCGCGCUCCGCCGUUGAAACUGGCGUUCUUGAGUGGGCGAGAAGUAUGCGGAAUGCGUGGUGUAGCGGUGAAAUGCAUAGAGAUCACGCAGAACUCCGAUUGCGAAGGCAGCAUACCGGCGCCCAACUGACGCUGAAGUACGAAAGCGUGGGUAUCGAACAGGAUUAGAUACCCCAGUAGUC
rnacentral:rRNA from 1 species